rnacentral:rRNA from 1 species
AGAGCGAACGCUGGCGGCAGGCCUAACACAUGCAAGUCGAACGGAUCCUUCGGGAUUAGUGGCGGACGGGUGAGUAACACGUGGGAACGUGCCCUUUGGUUCGGAACAACUCAGGGAAACUUGAGCUAAUACCGGAUAAGCCUUUCGAGGGAAAGAUUUAUCGCCAUUGGAGCGGCCCGCGUAGGAUUAGCUAGUUGGUGAGGUAAAAGCUCACCAAGGCGACGAUCCUUAGCUGGUCUGAGAGGAUGAUCAGCCACAUUGGGACUGAGACACGGCCCAAACUCCUACGGGAGGCAGCAGUGGGGAAUCUUGCGCAAUGGGCGAAAGCCUGACGCAGCCAUGCCGCGUGAAUGAUGAAGGUCUUAGGAUUGUAAAAUUCUUUCACCGGGACGAUAAUGACGGUACCCGGAGAAGAAGCCCGCUAACUUCGUGCCAGCAGCCGC